GCCAGACCAACGAUCCAGGUAAGUCGCUCGUCUGAAAUGACCUCCGGGGGCGGGUGUCGCAGGUUCGAGUCCUGCCGAGGGCA
rnacentral:tRNA from 1 species